ACAUCUGUGGGGUGUGGGAGGGAAAUGCACCGCCCAAAAUGAGAGCAAACACUGGGAUGAGGGCAGCAUGAAGGGAGAGACAGAACUCAGUGAGAAGCAGCCUGUCUCGCAGGCUUGCCAGAACUCCAAUGACAUGAAUGUGUGUGAAGAUUUUUUAUGCCAGCCACCUGUGUGACAGAAAUACGGUAGUAAUGUUUUCAUCCCACAGAUAAGCUACAUCGGUGUCUCCAGAGAGGGAACCGUAUGGUGGGUCUGGUACAAAGGUAAUCCUAUAAAACCCUGCGUGCAAGACAUGAAAUGCUGUUCCCGGAGCUGAUUUUCUCCCAGAGAGCCCUUCAAGCCACCAUCAUUCAGUACCACAUAACAGAGCCAUGAGGCAGACAGCCUCAGGACCAGUGGCAGGGCAGGCAGGGGGCAGCCUGUGGGGCAGACUCACUGCAAGGACUGGUUGGGACCUCUCCCCAGCCUGCAGCCCACCUCGGGGCCUGGCUGCAAGGGCAAUGGAUAAGGCACUAAGAAAUCAUUUGGAAAAAGAAGAUGUAUCUCCACUUUACCACUGAAUUGCUGCAGUCAGCAGAAUGUUAUCACUCUGCUCCGGGUCCCUUACAUAAGAAGUAGAGAUGAAGGCAAACUGGCCACUUAAGUAAAGUUACUAUUUGAGACUUAUUCAAUAAAAUACUAUGCGCAUACAAAUAAUUCUUGUGUGUCCAUUUCCCCCCAAGUCUUAUAACAGAGAUGAUUUUCCUGAAGCAGGGGCUGUAAAGAAGCCGAAACAGCAGAAACCCGGUAGUAAGAAUGUUCCAUUCAUCCACAGGCUCAGCCUGUGCAUCCCCACCUAAAAGCAACAUUCAGCCCAUUGUGACCCAAUGCUGCUCUCACAUAAGCUUGAGUGGUGAAAGAAGAGGUGUACGCCUCACAUGCAGACUGCUGCCUGAGAAAAUUAUCUAGUAACUGUUAUUAUAGGGCAUCUUUACGUUAAGGCUGGUCCAGGCUGUAGCGGGAACACUAAGCCAUGGCCUGAAACAGUGAUUGAGCACCUGGUGGAAGGCAGGGCCAACCCAGGGGCGCUCAGGUGCAUGCAGUGCACCUGAUUGACAGGGAGGGGUGAAGCCAGGAUCCACCCCUUCCCAGACCUCAUUUAAGGUUUGGCAGUGGGGGGGGGGGUAAAGGCAUCUCUUUGGAGGUCCCUGCCUUCUGGACGCCUUCUGAAGGUAAGCAGGUGGUUUUUUUUUUUCUUCAUUUCUGUGUCUAUGGCUGUUGCAGCUUAGGAUUGUGGUGCUCUGCUAUUGUUGCUGUACCUUCUAUCACAUUACAGCAUUACAUAGGCCAGUGUAGCUGGUAGCAUGCCCUUGUGAGACACUGCCUGUUGAUCUGACCAUAUAGUAACACCAGUAACUGCCAGAAACUCGUGAUGGGCUUAAGCAAAGUGAAUUCUGCUGAGGAGACAGUGCACCUCUCAACCUAGUGGUUUCCUAUGUCCGGAACAGUCCCCAGGUAUGUUGUAGGGAAAGGCAUUUUAUCUGACCAGCUGUACAGCAUACAGGCACAAGCUGUAGCCAGCAUGUGUGCAAGCUCCUGGCUUGUCACAUGAGUCUGAGCAUUUCAACCCCCAGUGUACAAUGAGAGUUAGCAGGCUUUCAAGGUACCUUGCAUGAGCUCAGAUAUUGAUCAGCUCUGCUGCUAUUUGUAUUACAUGUGCUAUGCCCAGCAAAAAGCAUGCUUUCUGUUCUGAUUUCAUAUCUUUUGUUCACUAACUUCUAAUCAACAGAAGCAAAUAACUUCUCCUGUGUCAUCUCUAUUUUACAGUGCUAAAACCAGCUAUUUAUGUAGCUGCUCUGUGUGUAACUCUACAGACCAGAAUGCUCUUCUCGUGAAGGGCUUAUGGCCCAACUGCAUGUGGGAUUUGAGUGGCUAACUAGAAUCUCUGCAAGUUAUCUGUUGCUUCUUUAUAAGCCCCGCUUCCUUUCUUUACGUCCCCAUUUGGACUGGGGAUAAUGAACUUCCUGUAUCGUGCACUGCCACACAAGGAAACCCAUUGUAUGCGAACCAAGGAAGAGUAUAUCAGUGAGUGGUUUGUAAGGCAGCUCUGGCGGGUCUUGUUAGAAUGACUUAUUCUCAGAGUUCCAGUGGUUUGAUUAAGUGGAUCAUGUGAUAAGCACUUAUAAUGAACUUCUUCACAUGCUGCCAGGGGAAGCCCAGCAGAUAAAGUGCUUAAUCCCACGGCAUUGCUCUGUGCAUAACAAACUGAUUGCGAAGACAGAAGAGUCAUGCAAUUCAUUGGCUUCUCCUACCCAGGAUAGCACAACAGUGUUAUACAAUUUUCUUUCUGCUGCCCAAGUCAAAAUAUUCUUGCUACUAAAUCCAGUUCAAACUAGCACGCUUUUCCUCCCGCUGCUCACCAAGCUCUCAACCAGGCAGGUUACAGCUGAGUGUAACCACCUGCAGCAAGCCUAGGCAUGCUUCUGAGUGCUUUCUUUCUUGUUAAAGAAAACAGUCCCCCAGAAACAACAACAAACAAGAACCGAGCAUAAACUUCUGAGUAACCCCAGCUAGUCUGUUUUAAAAAUAAAAAUCUAGGUCAGCCUGAAUCACCACAGGGGUAAUCUUCAUUUCACUCCCGACAGUAGCAGAGGUCAACAAGGCAGCCUCACAAAGGGGCAUCUCUUGCAGUUUUGGCCCAAACCUGCGGGAUCAAUGACCAGGGAAGCAAACAUCAGAUGUGUUCUCUCUUUCUCCCCCCCAGCUGGUGGCUCACACUUUGCUUUACAAAACAUCCUGGCUGAGCCAUGAGGUGGGAUGUGCUCGUUCCGGCCCUGUCUGCUGGAACAAAUUGUGGUGCUGCUUCUCCAAGGCCAGUGCCAUAUCCCUGACUCCUCUGUAGCAAGGGUAUGACGGGGGGGUACCUUUAGGAAAGUCAUCGUCAGGUCCUGGGACUGAGAUGAGUGCCAGGCCUCAAAGAGAUCUGCUCCCUGACCAGCAAUAUCCGCAUGCUCCCAUUACCAAAGGCAACAACUAUGUGUCCCAGGACCUGCCUGUUGCUCUGGUACACCUGAUGAAAAUGCCUAUGAAAGCUCUGCUACCCAGAAAAGGGCUGGGAGCUCUACUUGCACACUCAGGUGUCAGGAUGGAGGGGGCAACCACUUCAGUAGCGUAUGCUACUGAAGGAGCACAGGGCGAUACGUGGGUGGUGGGCUUUCAGUGAGGUAGCUGCAUUUACUUGGGACCCUUACAUCAGAAAAACAGUGGUGCAGGCAUGGAUAAUGCUUCUCCCUUUAGGUACUUACUGAUACCAGAGGUGAGACUUUACUGAGUGGUAGCUGAUGAGGCAGCACCUGCAAAGCUAGCUUCAGGAACGCCUGUCCUCAGGCUACCUCACUCUUGGUAAUCCCACUAAGUAAUUAGUUCUUUAGGGUCAUGGAGUGAAGCACUUUUAAAGUGAUCAUCUUGGGAGUCCAGGUGUCAGGAGAAACAACAGGCAGAAGCAGCAUGUCAUGUCACCUUACCAGCAGGAUGUGUCUGUGCUGCGCAUCAGCAAAAGGGUUAAUAUUGUUUGAUGCAAGGCUGAAUCAGCCAGGUGGUGGUAACUGUUACCUCACUCAGAGCCUUUACAUUUCCUCUUGCUCUGCAGUCAUACUGAGAAUGAAGGAGGGCUUAGCCUUACAGAAGUACAAUCACUUGUGCAUCAUAACUAGAAAGCCAGUAUAGCCACAAAGCUGCUUCUGCACAGCACUCAGAACAAUCUUGGUUCUGGCUGGCUUCACGCUGCGCUCCCUACUCUGCUUGUUCUCACACGUACCAGCAGCCCCACAUCACCCAUGCGCUGUGCUGAGCACCUCACUGAAUCCCAGUUCGUGUACGCAGGCACGUAGGCAGCCCUGAGAGUGAGAUCCUGUGCUUGCAGCUUGCAGGCCCCAAGAGCAAGUUUAAGAGCAUCCCUGCAAUGUAUCAAUGUAUUGACAAGCUAGGUUGGGUGGCAGACUCAUCACACCCAGUGCAGUGGUUAUAGAGAGACACAGCAAUGGAACAUUUGCCAGGUGAAGAAUGCAAGCAUGAAUAUCAGAUUGACUUCUUACACGAAUCGGAACAUCAGAUGGGUAGGGAUGAUGCCCUGCUUUCUGGCCUGACCUAUUUUGUCACUUAUCUGUAUGAUAAGGAACAGUCAAGGCUUGUGGCAUCUCACAGUAAGCCUAGGAGAUGGUAAAAAGUGUUUGUUCAGGCAGUUGACCUAUAAAUACAACUGUAGUUUAAAAUGCACAUCAAAUUUUGUAUAUCAGCUUUCCUAUACGGUGUUACUAACCAUUACGUUUCCUUAGGUCACAUUAUUCCUCAAUUAAUGAGAUUGCACAGGUGUAAUCAAAGGCAUAAUGUGAUACCAAUCAGAUUUCAUCAGCAAAGUGCUGUUUCCAGCUGUGAUGGCAUGGGAGAAAGAAGGCCUUAUCUUGAUGUAUUUUCCAGCUAAUAGGAGUACACAAACCUAAUAGUGAGAAAAAUGUUUAAAAAUACCCUUUUUGUGCGAUCAGUAAGAACCAAGAGCUGCAACAUUAUGAUGCUGCUAUUAGAUUCAGUCAUCAUCGGAGGGUAACUUAAUUGUAAUUCUGUAAACCAGGUUAAAAUUUGCUCUUCGAGUUGUUUCCACUUGACAGGGAUAUCUCCUGGAAAUGUUGGCUCAUUGUCCUUAAUUGCAUUUGGGUAUUUUGAACUGAACAUCCACCCCCACAGCAUUUAACUCACAAGUUUGAUAUUUCAGAUUACGUAUGGAUGUUGAGCAUGGAAGGCCUUUACUCCACAAUUAAAACGGUUCAGGUAAAAGUCAUUUACCCUUAAACUGUUAAGCAACUAGCGAAUUUUAACAGCCUGUAUUUAUUUAGUCUUAUGUUAAAUCAGUGUCUCCCGAGCUCUGUGUGCCCAGUUUGAGAAACUGAAUCCACCAAAUUCCCCAAGAACUAACAGAGAUUUCUGUAAAAGUGAGGCUCACUGAGGCUACGUAUUCCAAAUAGAGAGCCAGGCUAUGGUAUUUCAUUUCUCACUCCUCUACCACGACAUAACUCUGCUACAAAGGUGCACUGUGAGAUUUCAGCUUUUAAAUUUUUAGCAGCUGAAGAGCAUCGGUGAGCAUUAAGUAAAAUUUCUUUCAGACUUAGCAAUCUUUACCACAUCUUUUCCUUCUACGUGACAAAACAGAUAAAGGAGUUUGUGGUUUAAAACAUGGACACUAAGCUAACCAUGAUCCAGGUGAAACUGUGAAUAUUGUGCAUUAGAUCCUUUGGAGUAUUUCUGUGCUUUUUUGCUGCUCUCCUACUUUCAUGUAUUAAAUAUUGUCUACAGAUUUCCUGUGUAGGCCCAUCCCCGGGGACUGAAAACCUGGUGUAGACAACUCAUAAAUAAAGCGAGUGAGACAUGAGCAAGAAAAAGCAUAGCAUACUUCUGGGAAUCACUCCAGGAAAAUAAAUGUGCAAGAUGGCACAUCACCCUACACAAAGCUGGCAGAGGUAAAAUAACAUUUGGGUUUGAUCAUGACAGAAAAUAAAAUAAUUCUGUGUUCGGAUGUACGUGUUGGUCUUUCGCUGAAAUGAAAGGGCAAAGGUAAGAGUCCAAAGUCCAAAAGUGGAGUUCUGACUUGCAGGAAGACAAACCUGCUGGUGACCGUUGCAGCUCAUUUAAGUGAAGUGGAGGAUGAAGGCUGGAUUUGAUCCCUCGCUUUCAGAAAGUCUGUGAAUUCUCUAGGAAUGAAUGGCCACCAUCACUUAUUUCCCGUCUCUGUUGCUCGCUAUUUCUGCAGCAUAUGCUUGCUUUUAAAGGACCUUCUAAAUUCUAG
rnacentral:lncRNA from 1 species